UAAAACUCUAAAUGCAAACAGUGGGUUUAGGUUUUAUAUCCAACCCCAAAACUCCAAAUAAUGACCGUGGGUUUAGGUUUUAUUUCCAACCCCAAAACUCCAAAUGCAAACAGUGGAUUUAGGUUUUAUUUCCAAACCCCAAAACUCCAAAUAAUGACAGUGGGUUUAGGUUUUAUUUCCAAACCCCAUAACUCCAAAUGCAAACAGUGGACUUAGGUUUUAUUUUCAAACCCAAAAUUCCAAAUAAUGACAGUGGGUUUAGGUUUUAUUUCUAAUUCCCAAAACUCUAAAUAAAAUCAGUGGAUUUAGGUUUAGUUUCCAAACCCCAAACUCCAAAUGCAAACAGUGGGUUUAGGUUUUAUUUCCAAACCCCAUAACUCCAAAUGCAAACAGUGGACUUAGGUUUUAUUUUCAAACCCAAAACUCCAAAUAAUGACAGUGGAUUUAGGUUUUAUUUUCAAACCCCAAACUCUAAAUAAUGACAAUGGGUUUAGGUUUUAUUUCCAAACCCCAAAACCCAAAUGAAAACAGUGGGUUUAGGUUUUAUUUCCAAACCCCAAAGUCCAAAUGCAAACAGUGGGUUUAGGUUUUAUUUCCAACCCCAAAACUCUAAAUGAAAACAGGGGUUUGCAGAUCAAACCCCAAAGCUCUAAAUAAAAACAGGAGUUU